ACAGUUCCAAGGGGAGCAGGAAAGGGAAGGAGAAGGCCACAGAAAGGUGAAUCAAGCAGGGUCCCUUGUCCUCCUGAAGCAAUUAAAUCUCACUCCUCAAGAGUUUAUAUCAAAGAUGAGUCGACUUCAUGGGAGUUCUGCAGCAAUGAAUUGAGAAUAAAGACAUCAGACUUGGCCAGUAGCCCAGCUUCCUGAACAUUUCAACUGACAAAAUGUCUCAGCCUGAACACAAUCCCUCCACUAUGAGAUCUGCGGGUUCACUACUUAACACUGGCAACCAACUCGGAGGUGCUCACUGAGCAUAAUAAAUAAGUGGCUAUUGAGGUGGGGGAGGUGCUUCUGCUCCCGGGUGUUAGAGAAGAAAAGGCAAACUUCAGCUAUCAAAGUGAGCCAACAACUCAGUGAGGACAAAUGUCCCUAGUUCACGCAGAUGGCACAGCAGGACUUCCAAUGGGACUGAGACCACACACCACCCACUGGCACAUCACAUGCCCCUUGCAACACUAACUUGGUGCUAGGUUCUCAGAAAUGACCUGGAAGUUGAAACAGCAUCUCUUGAUUUUCC
rnacentral:lncRNA from 1 species